AGCAGGGCAAUGCAUUUAAAGACUCACUGAUGGUUGACCUCUUUAAGUCUCUGGAAAUAUACAUUCAUAGUCCCAUGAAAGACACGCUGCACUCUUCAUCAGAAGACAGUUUUCAGUUGUUAACAGAUUAAUUUUAGCUUUGUAGUAAAUCUUGUUAUAACAGACAUUAGUGUAUAGACUGCGCACAGUACAGUUAUCAGCAUGCCCAGUCGCUCCCAUAUCAAGGGGCUAACCCAGUGUCUGAUAUUAUGACACUAUUUUAGACUGCUGUUGUGAAGAAUUUACCCCGAUACUCUUAUUUUUGGUUUCAGAAAGGCAAUUGGGGCCACAAAUCAGCAAUGAGACCAGCUUAA